ACAAGCCAUGUGAUGACAAGAUAUGCCUCCCCAGCUUGUAGUCUUCUACUUUCUACAAUAUGGUUUGCAUCUCAUGAUUACGUACGAACACACCAUGUACGUUUUGAUUUAUUGAUUUUGAACUUGCUUUCUGAUCCGUAAGGUGGCCACGCCAAAAACCCAUCAAGAUCAAGGUAACUAUCAUAAGAAUGGAAAGUAUAGAAAUCAAAUAAUGCUAAAAAAUAAUGAACUAGAAAAA